GGGAAGGUGGCUCAGUGGUAGAGCGCCUGCCUUGCAUGCUCGAGGCCCUGGGUUCGAUUCCUCAGCA
rfam:Dipodomys ordii contig_17836, whole genome shotgun sequence.